GGGAAGCGGCGGGCGGGGUGGAGCAGCCAGCUGGGUCCGGGGAGCGCCGCCGCCGCCUCGAUGGGGUGUUGAAAAGUCUCCUCUAGAGCUUUGGAAGGCUGAAUGCACUAAACAUGAAGAGCUUGAAAGCGAAGUUCAGGAAGAGUGACACCAAUGAGUGGAACAAGAAUGAUGACCGGCUACUGCAGGCCGUGGAGAAUGGAGAUGCGGAGAAGGUGGCCUCACUGCUCGGCAAGAAGGGGGCCAGUGCCACCAAACACGACAGUGAGGGCAAGACCGCGUAAGCUGAAACACUGGUUUGCAGAUAUGCUGGUUCUGGGUUUUUGGGGUGUUCUCUGGAAUCCUUAGUAUCCAUAGGGGAAUUUCACACGUGCUCCCUCUCCACUCCCAUGUUGAAAUAUGUAAGAAGAUAUUUUAAUCUAGUGCCUUUCUCUCCAAAUUCCAAGUCACAUAUGGAGCUCUACCUUGAAUGGGUAUACAUGUUCCCAAGUAUAAGCAAAGGUUUUACCUCCUAAGAUUGCAACCAAUUGUAGAUGAGACAUGAAUUCUC
rnacentral:lncRNA from 1 species